AUACGGAGGGUGCAAGCGUUAAUCGGAAUUACUGGGCGUAAAGGGUACGUAGGCGGUUAAAUAAGUUGGAUGUGAAAGCCCCGGGCUCAACCUGGGAACUGCAUUCAAAACUGUUUGACUAGAGUGUAUGAGAGGUUGGCGGAAUUCCAGGUGUAGCAGUGAAAUGCGUAGAUAUCUGGAGGAACAUCAGUGGUGAAGGCGGCCAACUGGCAUAACACUGACGCUGAGGUACGAAAGCGUGGGGAGCGAACGGGAUUAGAAACCCUGGUAGUCC
rnacentral:rRNA from 1 species